rnacentral:rRNA from 1 species
GACGAACGCUGGCGGCGUGCUUAACACAUGCAAGUCGAACGGAAAGGCCCUGCUUUUGUGGGGUGCUCGAGUGGCGAACGGGUGAGUAACACGUGAGUAACCUGCCCUUGACUUUGGGAUAACUUCAGGAAACUGGGGCUAAUACCGGAUAGGAGCUCCUGCUGCAUGGUGGGGGUUGGAAAGUUUCGGCGGUUGGGGAUGGACUCGCGGCUUAUCAGCUUGUUGGUGGGGUAGUGGCUUACCAAGGCUUUGACGGGUAGCCGGCCUGAGAGGGUGACCGGCCACAUUGGGACUGAGAUACGGCCCAGACUCCUACGGGAGGCGGCAGUGGGGAAUAUUGCAAAAUGGGCGGAAGCCUGAUGCAGCAACGCCGCGUGCGGGAUGACGGCCUUCGGGGUGUAAACCGCUUCCGCCUGUGACGAAGCGUGAGUGACGGUAAUGGGUAAAGAAGCACCGGCUAACUACG